rnacentral:rRNA from 1 species
UGGGGAAUAUUGGACAAUGGGCGCAAGCCUGAUCCAGCCAUUCCGCGUGUGUGAAGAAGGCCUUUUGGUUGUAAAGCACUUUAAGCGAGGAGGUGGCUACUUGGAUUAAUACUCUAGGAUAGUGGACGUUACUCGCAGAAUAAGCACCGGCUAACUCUGUGCCAGCAGCCGCGGUAAUACAGAGGGUGCGAGCGUUAAUCGGAUUUACUGGGCGUAAAGCGUGCGUAGGCGGCUUUUUAAGUCGGAUGUGAAAUCCCUGAGCUUAACUUAGGAAUUGCAUUCGAUACUGGGAAGCUAGAGUAUGGGAGAGGAUGGUAGAAUUCCAGGUGGAGCGGUGAAAUGCGUAGAGAUCUGGAGGAAUACGGAUGGCGAAGGCAGCCAUCUGGCCUAAUACUGACGCUGAGGUAAGAAAGCAUGGGGAGCAAACAGG